GUCCUCCGCCAUGUAAUGAUCCUGUAUGGGGGUGCGAGAGGCAAAAUAUCAACAGCUAAUAAAAUUACAUCCUUUAAUGGCACUUGCAAAACGAAAAAGAGACAGUACAUGUGAUUACGAUUACAUACAUGUAUAUAACAAAAUCAUAUACGGACUGAACAGUAUUUCCGGAAACGCGGAUUCAACCCCCUAUAUAUAUAUUACA
rnacentral:lncRNA from 1 species